GACGAACGCUGGCGGCGUGCCUAAUACAUGCAAGUCGAACGCAGUGGGGACGGGUGAGUAACACGUGGGUAACCUCCCAUCAGAGGGGAUAACACUUGGAAACAGGUGCUAAACCGAUACUGAUGGCUGAACCCGCGGUGCAUUAGCUAGUUGGUGGGGUGACGGCUCACCAAGGCCACGAUGCAUAGCCGACCUGAGAGGGUGAUCGGCCACACGGGGCCCGAGACACGGCCCAGACUCCAACGGAAGGCAGCAGUAGGGAAUGUUCGGCAAUGGACGAAAGUCUGACGCAGCAACGCCGCGUGAGUGAAGGAGGUUUUCGGAUCGUAAAUCUCUGUUGUUAGAGAAGCGGUAUCUAACCAGAAAGCCACGGCUAACUCCGUGCCAGCAGCCGCGGUAAUAC
rnacentral:rRNA from 1 species